GACGGAGGGUGCGAGCGUUAUUCGGAAUUAUUGGGCGUAAAGAGAGUGUAGGCGGCCGGUUAAGUCAGGUGUGAAAGCCCGGGGCUCAGCCUCGGAAGUGCACUUGAAACUGGUCGGCUUGAGUUCGGGAGAGGGAAGCGGAAGUCCUGGUGUAGAGGUGAAAUUCGUAGAUAUCAGGAGGAACCUCGGUGGCGCGGGCGGCUUCCUGGACCGAAACUGACGCCGAGUCACGGAAGCGUCCGUAGCAAAUAGG
rnacentral:rRNA from 1 species